GACGAACGCUGGCGGCGUGCUUAACACAUGCCAGUCGAACGGAAAGGCCCUGCUUUUGUGGGGCGCUCGAGUGGCGAACGGGUGAGUAACACGUGAGUAACCUGCCCUUGACUUUGGGAUAACUUCAGGAAACUGGGGCUAAUACCGGAAAGGAGCUCCUGCUGCAUGGUGGGGGUUGGAAAGUUUCGGCGGUUGGGGAUGGACCCGCGGCUUAUCAACUUGUUGGGGUGGUAGUGGCUUACCACGGAUUUGACGGGCAGCCGGCCUGGGAGGGGGACCGGCCAAAUUGGGACUAAGAGACGGCCCAGACGCCUACGGGAGGCAGCGGUGGGGAAUAUUGCACAAUGGGCGGAAGCCUGAUGCAGCGACGCCGCGUGCGGGAUAAGGGCCUUCGGGUUGUGAACCGCUUUCGCCGGUGACGAAGCGUGAGUGACGGUAAUGGGUAAAGAAGCACCGGCUAACUACGUG
rnacentral:rRNA from 1 species